GGCCUGCGCUCCGCCGGACCUGCCCUUACCGUGUAAUACCCGAAGGAGAGAGUGAUGACGGUGAACCAGAACAGACUGCCUCUCUGGAAGAGAAAGGUGUUGGAAUAGAUGAUGCUUCCGCCUCCAAUAACCGCGAGUCCUCGAGAAGUGAUGCUCUGCCUCUCCGUUAAUGAAGAUGUGUGGAACCGCACUGCGCAGGACUUAGGAGCGGCUGUGGGACAGACGACCCGGGUCUAAGUCCUAGCUCUGCUACAAAUUUUGGGCCUAAGCGUACAUGUCAGUCACUGCUAAUAAAAAUUAAACUGAGUAAUUUGAAAGAUC